UACGAAGGGGGCUAGCGUUGCUCGGAAUCACUGGGCGUAAAGCGCACGUAGGCGGCUUACUAAGUCAGGGGUGAAAUCCUGGAGCUCAACUCCAGAACUGCCUUUGAUACUGGUGAGCUUGAGUCCGGAAGAGGUGAGUGGAACUGCGAGUGUAGAGGUGAAAUUCGUAGAUAUUCGCAAGAACACCAGUGGCGAAGGCGGCUCACUGGCCCGGUACUGACGCUGAGGUGCGAAAGCGUGGGGAGCA
rnacentral:rRNA from 1 species